rnacentral:rRNA from 1 species
AUGGAGCCAUGGACGCCACCUAUUCGUCUUGUCCUCCGCGUGCGUGCUUGCCGUCGCCAUCCGUUGACCUCCCGAGGCAGAGUCGUGCAAGUCCCUCGAUGCCCUUUCAGUUCAUCAAAUCGCCAAGUUCAGUGGGGCGCCAAGUUCCUCUCCGAUGUGUGUAGGACUACCGUUCCCUGGAUUCGUCAAGUACCAUGUCCAUCUCGUUCCGUUUCAUCACCGUCAAGGCCGAGAGGACGCCAAGUACCAGGACGACGAGGACCGUCAAGUUCGUCUUCCGCCGUCUUCGAAAUCGUGAAGUACCACUAUGAGAUGUGCAACUACUUCCACGACGAAACGAGAACAACUACCGCCGUUGAAGGUCGUCAAGUGAACAUUUAG